rfam:Buceros rhinoceros silvestris contig169300, whole genome shotgun sequence.
AAAAAGGCUCUUUUAAGAGCCAUUCCAGACACAACAUAAAGGGCUGU